AUUGAACGCUGGCGGCAUGCCUUACACAUGCAAGUCGAACGGUAACAGGUCUUCGGACGCUGACGAGUGGCGAACGGGUGAGUAAUACAUCGGAACGUGCCUAGUAGUGGGGGAUAACUACUCGAAAGAGUGGCUAAUACCGCAUGAGAUCUACGGAUGAAAGCAGGGGAUCGCAAGACCUUGUGCUACUAGAGCGGCCGAUGGCAGAUUAGGUAGUUGGUGGGAUAAAAGCUUACCAAGCCGACGAUCUGUAGCUGGUCUGAGAGGACGAUCAGCCAACGUAGGACUGGGACACGGCCCAUACUCCUACGGGAGGCAGCAGUGGGGAAUUUGGGAAAAUUGGCGAAAGCCUGAUCCAGCAAUGCAGCGUGCAGGAUGAAGGCCUUCGGGUUGUAAACUGCUUUUGUACGGAACGAAAAGCCCCGGGUUAAUACCCUGGGGUCAUGACGGUACCGUAAGAAUAAGCACCGGCUAACUACGUGCCAGCCGCCGCGGUAA
rnacentral:rRNA from 1 species